UACGAAGGUCCCAAGCGUUGUUCGGAAUCACUGGGCGUAAAGGGAGCGUAGGCGGCGUGGUAAGUCAGAUGUGAAAUCCCCGGGCUCAACCUGGGAACUGCAUUUGAAACUGGCAAGCUUGAGUCUUGUAGAGGGGGGUAGAAUUCCAGGUGUAGCGGUGAAAUGCGUAGAGAUCUGGAGGAAUACCGGUGGCGAAGGCGGCCCCCUGGACAAAGACUGACGCUCAGGUGCGAAAGCGUGGGGAGCAAACAGG
rnacentral:rRNA from 1 species